GCGCCCUUAGCUCAGUUGGUAGAGCAGCCCCCUUACACGGGGAAGGUCAGGAGUUCGAGUCUCUUAGGGCGCACCA
rnacentral:tRNA from 3 species